CCUACGGGUGACAGCAGUGAGGAAUAUUGGUCAAUGGACGAGAGUCUGAACCAGCCAAGUAGCGUGAAGGAUGACUGCCCUAUGGGUUGUAAACUUCUUUUAUAUGGGAAUAAAAUGUUCCACGUGUGGGAUUUUGUAUGUACCAUAUGAAUAAGGAUCGGCUAACUCCGUGCCAGCAGCCGCGGUAAUACGGAGGAUCCGAGCGUUAUCCGGAUUUAUUGGGUUUAAAGGGAGCGUAGGUGGAUUGUUAAGUCAGUUGUGAAAGUUUGCGGCUCAACCGUAAAAUUGCAGUUGAAACUGGCAGUCUUGAGUACAGUAGAGGUGGGCGGAAUUCGUGGUGUAGCGGUGAAAUGCUUAGAUAUCACGAAGAACUCCGAUUGCGAAGGCAGUUCACUGGACUGCAACUGACGCUGAGGCUCGAAAGUGUGGGUAUCAAACAGGAUUAGAUACCCCUGUAGUC
rnacentral:rRNA from 1 species